rnacentral:rRNA from 1 species
CAACGUGGGGAACCUGCCCCAUAGUCUGGGAUACCACUUGGAAACAGGUGCUAAUACCGGAUAAGAAAGCGGAUCGCAUGAUCAGCUUUUAAAAGGCGGCGUAAGCUGUCGCUAUGGGAUGGCCCCGCGGUGCAUUAGCUAGUUGGUAAGGUAAAGGCUUACCAAGGCGAUGAUGCAUAGCCGAGUUGAGAGACUGAUCGGCCACAUUGGGACUGAGACACGGCCCAAACUCCUACGGGAGGCAGCAGGC